rnacentral:rRNA from 1 species
CAGUCGCCGCGGGAAUACGAAGGGUGCAAGCGUUACUCGGAAUUACUGGGCGUAAAGCGUGCGUAGGUGGUGGUUUAAGUCCGUUGUGAAAGCCCUGGGCUCAACCUGGGAAUUGCAGUGGAUACUGGGUCACUAGAGUGUGGUAGAGGAUAGUGGAAUUUCCGGUGUAGCAGUGAAAUGCGUAGAGAUCGGAAGGAACAUCUGUGGCGAAGGCGACUAUCUGGGCCAACACUGACGCUGAGGUACGAAAGCAUGGGGAGCAAACAGGAUUAGAUACCCGCGUAGUCCCUGUCUCUUAUAC